AUGGCGGAAGACGGUCUCAACGACUACGAGCGCCUUCGCCAGGAGAACAUCCGGCGCAACCAAGAAAAGCUUGCCCCCAUCCGCCGCAAGGCCGACGAGCUCUCCGCCCCCAUCCGGCUCGCUAAACCUAAGCGACCGUAUCAGGUCAGGCCCAAGGCCCCGACGGGCCCCGUCCGCUCCUCCGGCCGCGCCCGCGGCAUCGCUCCCGACAACCUGCCCCCGGAUCUCAGCCUCACACCCUCGCUCGCCUCCUCCAUCCUCGGGGGCGGGGCUGGGACCAAUGUUCGUGCGGCGGACGACUUCAAUGCUGGGAGGGGCAUGGUGCUGAUGCGCGCACACGUGAGAAACGUGGUGCCCUGUAGCAUAGAGUCGAUGCGGGUCCUCCCGCUCGCCGACCAGACCGUGGUGGCGGCGGGGGACAAAAGGGGGAAUAUCGGGUACUGGGACGUCGACGGUGUCUCGGAGGAUGCCGACGGUGUGGAUGGGGUCGUCUUCAGUUAUUGGCCACACAAGUGCCCUGUGUCAGCAAUCGUGGCGCACCAGGUGGCACCACACAAGUUUUACAGCUCUAGCCAUCAGGGUGAAAUUUGUCUUAUGGACUUUGAGAAGGAGAUGUAUAGUAUGGUUCAUUUAAGGGAGUGGCCUGUUUAUUCGCUUUGUCAAGCACAAAAUAGUGCCCGAUGCCUAUAUUUUGGUGAUGAAAAGGGUGGCCUGACACUUUUCGAUGAGCGUGAGGGUAAGGUGUUAACUACAUGGGAUGUGCAUGAGGAGAGAAUCAACUCAAUAGAUUUUCAUCCGGAGAAGCCACAUAUGCUUGCUACGAGUUCAACGGAUCAAACAGCCUGUAUAUGGGAUGUGAGAAAUAUAAAAAGGAAGGAGCCAGAUAGCCUGAAGGUUUUCAAACUUGAGAAAUCUGCUCAGUCAGCUUAUUUCUCACCUAGUGGCCGCAUGUUAGCAGUAACAAGGUACUUUAUUUCUGACCAUUUUUCUACCCUUCAACUUGCUUAG
rnacentral:rRNA from 1 species